rnacentral:lncRNA from 1 species
AACAAUGUACGCAUCAAAGUUUCUACCUUUAACCAGAAGCACAUAAGGAACAGACGUACCGGAUAUUUAUCACGUUCUAAAAAGACAGGAAACACUAGAAAUGCCGGCCCUCUGCUGAAGAAAAGUUUUAACUAAAAAAUGUGAUUUUAUCUACAGAGCAAGUAUCGUUUAAAUUGUAGAUGCCGCCACAGGUUUAGAAUAAUAAGUAAUAUGUGGUUUCUACUAGUUAAUGAAAUAUUCAACGAAUAUUACGAGCAUAAGGUUAUAUCAUAAACGAUUGAACAAUGUGACCAUUUUCAAAAAUAACGCAUUAUAGAGAACAAGGAAUUUCUAAUAAUCCAUGUCUAUUAUGACAAACAAUGUACGCAUCAAAGUUUCUACCUUUAACCAGAAGCACAUAAGGAACAGACGUACCGGAUAUUUAUCACGUUCUAAAAAGACAGGAAACACUAGAAAUGCCGGCCCUCUGCUGAAGAAAAGUUUUAACUAAAAAAUGUGAUUUUAUCGACAGAGCAAGUAUCGUUUAAAUUGUAGAUGCCGCCACAGGUUUAGAAUAAUAAGUAAUAUGUGGCUUCUACUAGUUAAUGAAAUAUUCAACGAAUAUUACGAGUAUAAGGUUAUAUCAUAAACGAUUGAACAAUGUGACCAUUUUCAAAAAUAACGCAUUAUAGAGAACAAGGAAUUUCUAAUAAUCCAUGUCUAUUAUGACAAACAAUGUACGCAUCAAAGUUUCUACCUUUAACCAGAGAUAUGUUUAAAUAAUUAUAGAAGCACAUAAGGAACAGACGUACCGGAUAUUUAUCACGUUCUAAAAAGACAGGAAACACUAGAAAUGCCGGCCCUCUGCUGAAGAAAAGUUUUAACUAAAAAAUGUGAUUUUAUCUACAGAGCAAGUAUCGUUUAAAUUGUAGAUGCCGCCACAGGUUUAGAAUAAUAAGUAAUAUGUGGUUUCUACUAGUUAAUGAAAUAUUCAACGAAUAUUACGAGCAUAAGGUUAUAUCAUAAACGAUUGAACAAUGUGACCAUUUUCAAAAAUAACGCAUUAUAGAGAACAAGGAAUUUCUAAUAAUCCAUGUCUAUUAUGACAAACAAUGUACGCAUCAAAGUUUCUACCUUUAACCAGGUAUAAUAUAAUUUAACUUUGUAUAAUA